rnacentral:sRNA from 1 species
GCUUCGACUAAGGUUCGAUUCGAGCGAAAGCGAGAAAGCGUUGCCGCAGGCAACGACCCGAAGGGCGAAGCGCGCAGCGCUGAGUAAUCCUUCCCCCACCACCA